AGACUGGUAAGUUAAUUAAACUGUAGGGUUCAUGACUCUCUUAUACACUUUUGUGUCUAGUUGA
rnacentral:tRNA from 1 species